GAUGAACGCUAGCUACAGGCUUAACACAUGCAAGUCGAGGGGAAACGACAUCGAAAGCUUGCUUUUGAUGGGCGUCGACCGGCGCACGGGUGAGUAACGCGUAUCCAACCUGCCCAUCACUUGGGAAUAACCUUGCGAAAGUAAGACUAAUACCCAAUGAUAUCCCACGAAGGCAUCGGAAUGGGAUUAAAGAUUUAUCGGUGAUGGAUGGGGAUGCGUCUGAUUAGCUUGUUGGCGGGGUAACGGCCCACCAAGGCAACGAUCAGUAGGGGUUCUGAGAGGAAGGUCCCCCACAUUGGAACUGAGACACGGUCCAAACUCCUACGGGAGGCAGCAGUGAGGAAUGUUGGUCAAUGGACGAGAGCCUGAACCAGCCAAGUAGCGUGCAGGAAGACGGCCCUAUGGGUUGUAAACUGCUUUUAUAAGGGAAUAAAGUGGGUCACGUGUGACUUUUUGCAUGUACCUUAUGAAUAAGGACCGGCUAAUUCCGUG
rnacentral:rRNA from 1 species